rnacentral:rRNA from 1 species
UACGGAGGGUGCGAGCGUUGUCCGGAAUCACUGGGCGUAAAGGGCGCGUAGGUGGCGCGAGGAGUCUGUGGUGAAAGCCCGAGGCUCAACUUCGGGUCGGCCGAGGAUACUCUCGUGCUGGAGGGUGGUAGAGGCCAAUGGAAUUCCGGGUGUAGCGGUGGAAUGCGUAGAGAUCCGGAAGAACACCGGUGGCGAAGGCGGUUGGCUGGGCCACACCUGACACUGAGGCGCGACAGCGUGGGGAGCAAACAGG